rnacentral:rRNA from 2 species
GAUGAACGCUUGCGGCAGGCUUAAUACAUGCAAGUCGAACGAGUGGCGGAUGGGUGAGUAACGCGUAUGCAACCUACCUCGUGUCGAGAAAAAGUCGACUGAAAAGUCGAUUAAAGUUUCGUAGUGAUAGUUGGCGCGAGAUGGGCAUGCGUAUCAUUAGCUAGUUGGUAGGGUAACGGCCUACCAAGGCGACGAUGAUUAGGGGUUCUGAGAGGGAGGUCCCCCACACUGGGACUGAGACACGGCCCAGACUCCUACGGGAGGCAGCAGUAGGGAAUAUUGGUCAAUGGGCGGAAGCCUGAACCAGCCAUGCCGCGUGAUGGACGACGGCCUUCGGGUUGUAAACAUCUUUUCUGCUAGAGGAUGACUGUAUAGCAGGAAUAAGGAUCGGCUAACUCCGUGCCAGCAGCCGCGGUAAUACGGAGGAUCCGAGCGUUAUCCGGAUUUACUGGGUUUAAAGGGUGCGCAGGCGGGCUCUUAAGUCAGUGGUGAAAAGCCUAGGCUUACCCUAGGUCGUGCCAUUGAUACUGGGAGUCUUGGAUAAGAUAAGGAAGGCGGAAUGCGUAGUGUAGCGGUGAAAUGCUUAGAUAUUACGUAGAAGACCGAUUGCGAAGGCAGCUUUCUGGGUCUAUCGACGCUCAAGCACGAAAGCGUGGGUAGCGAACAGGAUUAGAUACCCUGGUAGUCCACGCCGUAAACGAUGAUCACUCGCUCUUGGCGUGUCAGGGGCCAAGCGAAAGCGUUAAGUGAUCCACCUGGGAGUACGGCCGCAAGGCUGAAACUCAAAGGAAUUGACGGGGGCCCGCACAAGCGGAGGAACAUGUGGUUUAAUUCGAUGAUACGCGAGGAACCUUACCUGGGCUAGAACUGCAGAGGUGCUGCAUGGUUGUCGUCAGCUCGUGCCGUGAGGUGUCGGGUUAAGUCCCAUAACGAGCGCAACCCCUAUCGUCAGUUACCAUCAGCUGGGGACUCUGGCGAGACUGCCGGUGCAAACCGGAGGAAGGUGGGGAUGACGUCAAAUCAGCACGGCCCUUACGUCCAGGGCGACACACGUGUUACAAUGGGUAGCAGCGAGUUGCCAACCAGCAAUGGUGCGCUAAUCUAUACUACCCUCAGUUCGGACGGAGUCUGCAACUCGACUCCGGAAGCUGGAUUCGCUAGUAAUCGCGCAUCAGCCAUGGCGCGGUGAAUACGUUCCCGGGCCUUGUACACACCGCCCGUCAAGCCAUGAAAGUCGUGGGUGCCUGAAGUUCGUAGCGACCUAAGGCAAACUCAAUGAUUAGGG